rnacentral:rRNA from 1 species
ACUCAAAUGAAUAGACGGGGGCCCGCACAAGCAGCGGAGCAUGUGGUUUAAUUCGACGCAACGCGAAGAACCUUACCUGGGCUUGACAUGUGCCUGACCGGCGUGGAAACACGUCUUCCCUUCGGGGCAGGUUCACAGGUGGUGCAUGGCUGUCGUCAGCUCGUGUCGUGAGAUGUUGGGUUAAGUCCCGCAACGAGCGCAACCCCCGUCGUAUGUUGCCAGCAUUAAGUUGGGGACUCAUGCGAGACUGCCGGUGACAAACCGGAGGAAGGUGGGGAUGACGUCAAGUCAUCAUGCCCCUUAUGUCCAGGGCUACACACGUGCUACAUUGGCAUGUACAGAGGGCUGCGAAGCCGCGAGGCGGAGCGAAUCCCUUAAAACAUGUCUCGGUUCGGAUUGCAGGCUGAAACCCGCCUGCAUGAAGGUGGAGUUGCUAGUAAUCGCGGAUCAGCAUUGCCGCGGUGAAUACGUUCCCGGGCCUUGCACACACCGCCCGU